AUGGGUGUGCAGGCUAUGAUGGAUGUCCGGUGCAUGAACCUUGUCAACCCUGUAUGCAACUGGCUUGGUGAGAUCUACGACCCCGCCUCCAGGGAAUUCAUGAUUCCGGGACGUGGAAGACUACAGUUGAACGAGGAAUCUGUGUUCUGCACUUUGGAUGUGCCUCGUGGACAUAUCAAAGUCCCGUACGAGGUCAAUAAUGAGAUCGAGGAAGCGUUGUUCCCCCGUUUGUUUCCUGGGUUGGAAUCCAUGCCGAACACGUCUGCAAUGGCAGAUUCGCUGCAGGCCAUGACAACGCAUGGAGAUGUUUUCAAGAUGAAGCUACUCAUGUACCUCAUCUCAGUUGUUUUCGCGCCGACCACUUCUCUUCGCCCAAGCAACAAAUGCUUUCCCAUCCUGGCGGAUCUGAAAAAUGUGAAGAACAUGAAUUUGUGUAAGUUUAUUGCCGACUUCCUGCACGAUGCAUUCUCAAACAAGAUGUACCAAAAGGGUUGUCGACUGCAUUUAAUGCUCAUGUACGUCGACUGUCUUGAUCUGUCCACCAUGGCUUUCAUUGGGACUGGAGGCCCGCCGCCUACACACAAGUUUGUUGUUUCUGCGUGGACUAUCAAUGCUGUCAAGGUUGUGCUUGCCGCAGACAAGGCUACUGACACCACAUAUGGAAAACUGCAGCUGAUGGCCAAGCACGCUAUAGACUACAGCGUGUUUGGGGGGCCUCAAAACUUUGGAAAGUGGAUGGACGUGCACUCAGCUCCGUCUUGCCUUGCCGAGGCAAGGGCACCUGUUGAGCAUCUAAUAGGGCAGUUUGCAUCCGGAAUGACCGGCUUUCUCGGGAAGUUGGUUGAGGGUUCCCAAGAGCCUGCUGACACACAAGAUGAACUAGGUGGAGAUGCUGGUCUUAGCAAGGAUGACGACGAUGACAUGGAGAAUGUGCAACAGGACACCGAUGAUGAUGAACAUGCUGAAGUUUGCGCAAGUGGUAACAAGGGCAAGGAUGCAACAGAUGUCCCCCAACCGAAGAAAGUCAAAGAACAUACGGCUGCGAGAGGCGAGGGGGUUUUGCCAUCAAAGAGGGGGAGGGCUCCAGAGGGUGUUGGGCAGGGUUCUCCUGGCAAGAGGUCUAGGACCGAUCCUGUAGCUGCCAGGAAGAGCGAGCCGACAGCUAUUGGACGAGCAGUUAUGAAGAAACAGGCGCCAACGCCAACCCGUGUUUCUGCUCGAUUGAACAAAGGCGCCCCCAUUGUCGGUGACACCCCUUCCACCAAGUCAUCUCCUCGCACGACGACGACCAACACCGGGGAUCCUGUCGUGUUGCCAGACCUGAGGAAGGCAGUCAAGAAGAUGAAGAAGACUACUACGCGUGGGGCCAAGCAUACCAGUAAGGACCCGCUCGAACGCCUGCAUUCAAAGUUGUCAACGGGGGGCAACUCAGAUGUACAUGAGGCGCCAGGCGACAAUACUGCUGCUGCACCGUCAACCGCUCCCACCAACUCUGAUGCAAGUCCGUACAUCGGGGAGUGA
rnacentral:rRNA from 1 species